rnacentral:rRNA from 1 species
GGCGAACGGGUGAGUAACACGUAGGUGACCUGCCCAGAGAGGAGAAUAACCAUGCGAAAGCGUGGCUAAUACUCCAUACGGUCGGUUAUUCGAUUAACCGAUUAAAGCUACGGCGCUCUGGGAGGGGCCUGCGGCCCAUCAGCUAGUUGGUAGGGUAAUGGCCUACCAAGGCUAUGACGGGUAGCUGGUCUGAGAGGACGAUCAGCCACAAUGGGACUGAAACACGGCCCAU